rnacentral:rRNA from 1 species
CCUACGGGUGGCAGCAGUGGGGAAUCUUGCACAAUGGGCGAAAGCCUGACGCAGCGACGCCGCGUGAGGGAUGAAGGUCUUCGGAUCGUAAACCUCUGUCAGCAGGGAAGAACGGUCACUGUGCUAAUCAGCAGUGAAUUGACGGUACCUGCAAAGGAAGCACCGGCUAACUACGUGCCAGCAGCCGCGGUAAUACGGAGGUGGCGAGCGUUAAUUGGAAUUAUUGGGCGUAAAGGGCUCGUAGGCGGUAUGUCAAGUCAAGGGUGAAAUCCCCGCGCUCAACGGGGGAAGUGCAUUUGAAACUGGGAGACUGGAGUGUGGGAGAGGAUAGUGGAAUUCCAGGUGUAGGAGUGAAAUCCGUAGAUAUAUGGAGGAACAUCAGUGGCGAAGGCGACUAUCUGGCACAUAACUGACGCUGAGGAGCGAAAGCGUGGGUAGCAAACAGGAUUAGAUACCCCUGUAGUC